AGGACAGCCACUCAUUAGGAGACACAGGUUCAAAAGACCAAGCCACCCGCUCAAGAUGACACCACAAAUCGUUAAUCAAUUUCGGACUUGAAAUGAAUCCUGCCGAAAAUCACCGUCGGAGACAUUUCAACCACCACCAUGGAUCACGUGUAUUCAUCCCAGGAAGUGACCCAUGCUUACCCUACAAUUCAGCCAGCAAGUGCACAGACACCAGACCGAGUCAUACCACCAGUCGUGGGCUAUGCCAAAGUUGUAAUACUCAUUUCCUUCCCUCAAAACCGAGGGGGCUCCAGGACUGAUUUGAAUCCCCCCAACUUGGAUUUCUGUUACUGUCGUUAAGAAGAUCCUGGACUGAGAUAACAAGCACUUCUGUCAGGCCUAAGGAAGACUCCACAUGGAGCUAGUUAUCACUGUGACUGGAGCCAAAUUCCACCGAGGAUCCCUGGGAGCAGCCUCAGAGUUCGGACUCCCACACGAACAGGGGUUGUCGGCUCCCAUCAGCUGUUGCCUGAGUCCUGCAUGGGAGGCAUUAA